rnacentral:rRNA from 1 species
GAGUUUGAUCCUGGCUCAGAACGUACGCUGGCGGCACGCCUAACACAUGCAAGUCGAACGAAGUAGCAAUACUUAGUGGCAGACGGGUGAGUAACAUGUGGGUAUCUGCCCUUUGGCCUGGAAUAACACGAGGAAACUUGUGCUAAUACCGGAUAAGUCUUUACAGAGAAAGCUUUAUGCACCAUUGGAUGAGCCCGCACUUGAUUAGUUUGUUGGUAGGGUAAUGGCCUACCAAGACUGUGAUCAAUAGCUGAUUUGAGAGGAUGAUCAGCCACAUUGGGACUGAGACACGGCCCAAACUCCUACGGGAGGCAGCAGUGGGGAAUCUUGCACAAUGGAGGAAACUCUGAUGCAGCGAUGCCGCGUGAGUGAAGAAGGCCUUUGGGUUGUAAAGCUCUUUCGUCGGGGAAGAAAAUGACUGUACCCGAAUAAGAAGGUCCGGCUAACUUCGUGCCAGCAGCCGCGGUAAUACGAAGGGACCUAGCGUAGUUCGGAAUUACUGGGCUUAAAGAGUUCGUAGGUGGUUGAAAAAGUUGGUGGUGAAAUCCCAGAGCUUAACUCUGGAACUGCCAUCAAAACUUUUCAGCUAGAGUUUGAUAGAGGAAAGCAGAAUUUCUAGUGUAGAGGUGAAAUUCGUAGAUAUUAGAAAGAAUACCAAUUGCGAAGGCAGCUUUCUGGAUCAUUACUGACGCUGAGGAACGAAAGCAUGGGUAGCGAAGAGGAUUAGAUACCCUCGUAGUCCAUGCCGUAAACGAUGUGUGUUAGACGUUGGAAAUUUAUUUUCAGUGUCGCAGCGAAAGCGAUAAACACACCGCCUGGGGAGUACGACCGCAAGGUUAAAACUCA